rnacentral:rRNA from 1 species
AUUGAACGCUGGCGGCAGGCCUAACACAUGCAAGUCGAGCGGAUGAAGGGAGCUUGCUCCUGGAUUCAGCGGCGGACGGGUGAGUAAUGCCUAGGAAUCUGCCUGGUAGUGGGGGAUAACGUCCGGAAACGGGCGCUAAUACCGCAUACGUCCUGAGGGUGAAAGUUGGGGAUCUUCGGACCUCAUGCUAUCAGAUGAGCCUAGGUCGGAUUAGCUAGUUGGUGGGGUAAAGGCCUACCAAGGCGACGAUCCGUAACUGGUCUGAGAGGAUGAUCAGUCACACUGGAACUGAGACACGGUCCAGAGGCCUACGGGAGGCAGCAGUGGGGAAUAUUGGACAAUGGGCGAAAGCAUGAUCCAGCCAUGCCGCGUGUGUGAAGAAGGUCUUCGGAUUGUAAAGCACUUUAAGUUGGGAGGAAGGGCAGUAAGUUAAUACCUUGCUGUAUUGACGUUACCAACAGAAUAAGCACCGGCUAACUACGUG